CAGGGAAAGCCUGUGCUCGGAGGUUCUGCCCUUGACUGUGAGAGCGUCCCCAGCACGCUGACCAGCAUUCCCGGACUGGGGCUGCCUCAGAGGACACAUCAAUGACUCCAGCCAUUUUGCGGCCUCUCAUUUUUGGAAAGUGUUUCUUCAGUGUAAGCAGAGCCUGCUUUCUAGGCAUGUCUGAGCGCCCACCUCAUGGCCCUAUAAUCCUCACUAUCCUGGAACUUGCGGCGGGCCGGUGCACGAGGAGGAGCAGGGCAGAGAGACGCAACGGCUCCACCACCCACAACAUGUCCACGAGAAGACGCAUCUCGACACCCGUGAAUCUGGGCUCCGAGCCCCCUGGAUUGGGGAGACACAGUGUGGCUCCUGGUUAGUGGCAUUUGGCAAUGAUUACACAAAUAUUCAAAAGGCUUCCGAGGGUUCAUUCUCAACCUCCUUGCCCCAAUCCUAUUUUUCCUACAACGUCUUAAAUUUCUGAAACCCCAGCCCUCCUACACUGGAAGUUUUCCUCCUGCCUGAAGAGAGCCUACUAUGUACGUGAUGUGCUCCUGGUGGGCCGAAACUGUGCUUUUCCAUCUCUGGAAUCCCUAGCAGGCUAAGCCUGGAAUGGGCAAACAAGUACUGUUACCGAGGUCCAGAGAAGCAGUCAGUGUCCAGGAUCGCCCCCAGGGUUGCCAUCCAGGUCCACUUGACCGCAGAGCCCUGCUCACCGCCCUCAGGGCCUCCAGUGUCAUCUUGUGUAAGAACAGCAAUAGAAGACAUCUGUGUCUUUUCCUUGACAUCAAAGGAAAUCCUGUUAAACUUCAAACAUUAAGUAAGAUGUUAUUGUAGAUUUUUGGAAGAUAUUCUUUAUCAGAUUAAAACAGGUUCCUUCUAUUUCUAGUCAGAUAAACAUUUUCUUUUCUUUUUUUUAGUUAAGAAAGAGUGUUGAAUUUUAUUGAAUAUUUUCUGCAUCUACUGAGAUGAUCAUGUGUUUUCUCUUUUAAUCUAAUAAGUGGUCACUUACACUGAUAUAUCUUCUGCUAUUGAGUGACACAUUCCUGGGAUAAACCCUAUUUGGCAAAGACAUAUGAUUGCUUUUAAACACCUCUGAAUUUGAUUUGCUUUGGUAUUUUACAUCUAUGUUCAUAAAUAACAUUGUCAUGUGAUUUUCUUCCUUUCUUCCUUCUUUCUUCUUUUUUGUCCUACGUUUUUCUAUUAUCCUAUUAUCUUUGUCCAGGUUGAAUAUCAAGCUUAAACCAGCUGUAUUCAAUGACUUAGUUAGCUUUCUCUAACUUUCUAUCCUCUCAAACAGUUUGUUUGAUUAUGGACUUAAGUACUGCUUCAAUUUAUUUAAUAAUGAUUACAAGUCCCUUAAAGUUAGCACAUUUCCUUGAGUCAAUUUUGGUAAUUAUCUAUUUAUUUAAGUUUUCAAGUUUAAUGGCAUAAAGUUGUCCAUAUACUAUUUUAUGAUUUUAAAAUUUCUACCGCAUCUGUAGUUAUGUCCCCUUUCACCAUCCAAUAUUAUUAUUUAUACAUUCUCUUUAUUUUCUCCUUAGUCUAUUAAUCUGACAGAGAGAUACUAAAAUCUCUCCCUGUAAUUUUUUUUAAAAAAACUUUUCCUUAUAAUUAUGUCAGUUUUUACUUUGUAUAUUUUGAGACUAUCUUAUUAGGCACAUACAAUUUCAUGAUA
ensembl:lncRNA